GCGGACCGCGCGCCUGCAACGCGCCGGCACCGCGCGGGGUGCUGAGCGUGACGUGACCUAACCCAGCGCUCUCCCAGUCCUGCUCCCCAAGAGUGAACGCGGCUGAGGGGGGCGCGAGGCUGUGACGUCAACGCCCCGGCAGCUGCCUGGAGCCCUCGUGCAGGGGGCGGGGGCAGUGGUCACGUGCAGCCGUGCGGCCGCAGCCCGCGGGUGGGGUAGUAGCGAAGUAAUGUGAAGAAGCGGAGUGAGCGCUUUACCUCAGAGCGGUGCUGGAUGGAGAAGGAGCCUGUGUAGGAGCAGCAGGAGCUGGGACGGGAGCGGCACGUAGAUAAAAAUACUGAGGUGGAGGUCCUGCCAAAGUGGUGAUGAUUAUACAAAGAGUAGUACUCAACUCACGCCCUGGUAAAAAUGGUGUGCCAGUGCCAGAAAACUUCCGAAUGGAAGAAGUCACAAUACCAGAUAAAAUCCAAGAGGGACAAGUAUGUGUUCGAACCCUUUACCUUUCUGUGGAUCCUUACAUGCGCUGUCGUAUGAAUGAAGACACAGAUGCUGAAUAUCUCCGGGCUUGGAAGCCAUCUGAGGUGGCUGAUGGUGGGGGCAUUGGCAUUGUGGAGGAUAGCAAAUGUACACACCUUGUUAAAGGAGAUUUUGUAACUUCAUUCAACUGGCCCUGGCAGACAAAAGCCAUUUUAGAUGGAAGUCUGCUCCAAAAGCUUAAUCCACAACUCGUAGAUGGACACCUCUCUUACUUUCUUGGUGCCGCUGGUAUUACUGGGUUAACUGCCUUAUUAGGGAUAAGAGAGAAAGGACAUGUGAUUCCAGGUGCCAAUCAGACAAUGGUUGUUAGUGGAGCUGCUGGUUCCUGUGGUUCUUUGGCUGGUCAGAUUGGCCGCCUAGAGGGUUGUUCCAGAGUGGUAGGAAUUGCAGGUACAGAUGAGAAGUGCUCCAUUUUGGUCUCAGAAAUGGGGUUUGAUGCUGCCAUCAACUACAAGAAGGGAAGUGUGGCAGAGCAGCUGCAGGAACUCUGUCCAGCUGGCGUGGAUGUGUACUUUGACAAUGUUGGUGGAGACAUCAGUGAUGCAGUUAUUAGUCAGAUGAAUCAGAAUAGCCAUAUCAUCCUCUGUGGACAGAUUUCCCAGUAUAAUAAAGAUAUGUCUUAUCCUCCUCCAUUGGCUCCUGCAGUAGAAGAAAUACAGAAAGCAAGGAAUAUCACAAGGGAGAGAUUUCUAGUGUUGAACUAUAUGGACAAGCACGAAGCUAGUGUUCUACAGCUCUGUCAAUGGAUCAAGGAGGGGAAACUGAAGCUUGAGACUGUUGCUCCUUGUUCUGUCAUCUGCCACCACUGAGAACAGUCUAGCUCCAUCCUCUUUGGAUCCCCACUUCAGGUAGUUGAAGGCUGCUAUUAAAUCCCACCUCAGUCUUCUCUUUUCCAGGCUAAAUAAAUCCAGUUCCCUCAGCCUUUCCUCAUAAGUCAUGUGUCCAAGCCCCUAAUCAUUUUCAUUGCCUUCUGCUAGAUGCUUUCCAAUUUAUCCACAGCCUUUCUGUAGUGAUGGGCAAAACUGGACGCAGUACUCCAGGUGUGGCCUCACCAGUGCCAAAUAGAGGGAAGUAAUCACUUCCCUUGAUCUGCUGGUAACACUCUUAAUGCAGCCUAGUAUGCUGUUAGCCGCCUUUGCAACAGCAUACUGGGCUGCAGUACCAGCACAUAAUUUGGGGGCUCUGGUUUUAGUUGGUGGGUUGAUGCCCUGUGCCGAUUUGGAUCUUCAUGAUGCCUAAUGAGUUAACCAACUGACCUGCUUAUCAUAGAAUCAGAGAGAAACAGACCUGGAAAGAACCUCAAGAGGUCAUCUAGACCAACCCCCUGAAGCAAGAUCAUUCCUAUCCAAGCCCUCCUAUACAAAUUCAUUGUCUAACCUGUCAGCAGAACUACAGUCAAUCCUGACACAACAAGAUCUAAUCUGCCACAGGCAGAGCAGGAGGACCACAGUAGCUAAUGCUGCUGUGCGGGUUGUUAAUAUAUGCUCAAGACAUACCAGGAAAAGGGUAACGCCCCUUGCUACAGAGGAAGACAAAACCUACUACAGUCCAUACCAAUCCAGCCAUGGGGCAAAAUUCCUUCCUGAUGCCAUCCAGAGACACAAAGUUGUAAAAAGUCAAGUAAUGUUCCAUCUUUGAAAGAGUUAAAUAACUUCUAGGCUUAGAACAACGUAGCUGAACAACAUAGCUAUGUCCACCUUAUCUUCCUUUCUGGAGUAAUUGCUAUGGCAAUUUCAUGUUGCUUAUCAGCAAUGCUUUUAUCUUUUUGAGGAAAACUAACAAGACCUGUUGUUGUUGACAGGUCAGAGAGACUGUAACACGAGGUCUGGAAAAAACUGGUGCUGCUUUCCAAUCCAUGAUGACCGGCGGCAACAUAGGAAAACAGAUGGUGCUCAUUUCUGAAUAACAUUUUUGCACCUUUUGUGUAAAUAUACCCAACAGGAAAAAUAAACAUUUAUGAUCCUGAA